rnacentral:rRNA from 1 species
AUUGAACGCUGGCGGCAGGCUUAACACAUGCAAGUCGAGCGGGGUGAUGGUGCUUGCACUAUCACUUAGCGGCGGACGGGUGAGUAAUGCUUAGGAAUCUGCCUAUUAGUGGGGGACAACAUCUCGAAAGGGAUGCUAAUACCGCAUACGUCCUACGGGAGAAAGCAGGGGAUCACUUGUGACCUUGCGCUAAUAGAUGAGUCUAAGUCGGAUUAGCUAGUUGGUGGGGUAAAGGCCUACCAAGGCGACGAUCUGUAGCGGGUGUGAGAGGAUGAUCCGCCACACUGGGACUGAGACACGGCCCAGACUCCUACGGGAGGCAGCAGUGGGGAAUAUUGGACAAUGGGGGGAACCCUGAUCCAGCCAUGCCGCGUGUGUGAAGAAGGCCUUAUGGUUGUAAAGCACUUUAAGCGAGGAGGAGGCUCUUUUGGUUAAUACCCAAGAUGAGUGGACGUUACUCGCAGAAUAAGCACCGGCUAACUCUGUGCCAGCAGCCGCAGUAA